AGGUACAAAUCCGUGCACGGAACGCCUUUUGAUAGUAGCCUGAAUUAUAAAAGACAAAUAACCGGUUUGUGUUAUUUUUAACAGGGACUGGACAUCCUAGCGACUAUAUUUAGGGGACCCUCGUUGGCAGAGAAGGGUUUCAAGUUGUUCCAAGUUAAAGUUCUAAGUUUUCACCCGAGGUGCCGAGUUCGUGAUGGAAAAAGGGGAAACCCCUGGAAGGAAGGCUGCCACGCGGGGAAGAAGCGGAGAAGAAACGCGCUUGGCUUAUCCCUCCACUGAGCGUUUGGGGAUCUUUAAGCCUCGCCCGCUCUCUCUAUUCCUGGGGAGCCCCAGAGGGCGGCUGGCUUUGAUCCCCUCCCCAUUACGCAGCUACCGCUUCGUUUUAUCCUAGUCAGCGGCAUUGCGGGCCAAAAAAAAAAGAGAGAGGUCUCGCGUCUGGAGACACCCCGAAAUCUCCCACCCCUUUCAUCGAUGCUUCUUCGCCUCGCCAGGAUGACAGUUUUUUGAACAGUAAGACUUCACUCCAAUCAAGUAAAUCCUACUGAAUUCAAUGCAGUUCUAAACAGAUGUAAAAAGGAGUGCAUUAUAAAAAGGAGUGAUACAGGUGGAGUAUACAAUUAUUUCACUGGGAUUGUGCAUCUUUAGCAGGAAAUUCAACCUGGCGGUAUGGAGAAUUAAGAGAUUAUCAGCCAUCAGAGGGACAGACAACUUGGAGUUAUGUUUAAAUGUUACUGUAUCAUUGGUUGAAGAAAAAUAUCAAAAGGUAUGAGUCCAUAAACAAGUCCUUCCCUGAAUGAAAAAAUAUAGACACUUAUAUUCAUUGGCACAAAGAUGCCCAAUACUUUCCCUUCAAAAUAUAUCCAUUGUAGGCUUAUCCCAAGUUCAUUUUGAAGGAUUUCUGUAUUACUUCAUGCCUAAGAGAAGCCAAACAUCUACAUAUCUCAUCUACAGAUUACCAGGGACUUCUUUGGUCUCCACUAAACAUUUCUCCUGGAAGAAACACCCAGCCAGAAGAAGACAUGGCUUCUUCAUGGGGAAAAAGCCAGCAGGCGUUUGAAAAACAGCCAUAUAUGUCACCGCCUGGGCUGACAGGACUCAUGAUCCACAUCCCCAGAAAUGGGUUAAUAGUGAUGGGUAUUGAUUGUCCUAUUGAGAUGCAUUCAAAUGAAUCUUCAACAUGUAGAAACUCCUAAAAACCUGCAUUCAAGUUUCCUCCCUUCCUUCACCAGCAGAAGUAAAGAUCCAGGGUGGUCUUUUGUGUGUGCGUGUGUGCGUUUGUGCAUUUGUGUGUGUGUGUGUGUGUGUGUGUGUGUAUUUUCUCUCCAUCUGUUACCAGCUGCCCCCCAAAACUAGAGCUGGGGUAAGGGAGAAAAUGAGGCCACGUGGGUACGUUCUUUGUCCUCUUCCCAGCCACCACAAAGUCAAGGAAAAGUUUCAGGGCU